CGCUUCUGUACUCCCUCCAUCUCCCCAACAUCCAUCACCUUCUUCCGAUCUCUGCUCAUGGCGGCCCACCAGCAGUGCGGUUCACAGAAAACCCAUUUGGAUGACGACCCCAAAUAUCUAGAGAAGUACCCGGUGCCUCUGUCUCCGCCAUUGCCAGCCGUAUCCAAGGACAUGGAGCUGAGCCGAGCCAUGUCAGCUUCUUCUAAAUCAGCUCUCUUUUCUCUAUGUAGAACCGACGUGCUUCUCGAAGACGACUGGCUCAUUGCCUUGAACAAACCCCAGGGGGUUUACUGUGAGACGAUUUUGGCUUCUGUCCCGAGUCUACUCAACGAUUCUCCUGAUGAAUCGAGGGAAGUCGGUACCCAAUCAAAGAAGCUGGAGUUCCAUCUUGCAAAUAGACUUGAUCGUGAUACAAGUGGUGUGAUAUUAAUCACCAAAUCACAUAAAGUAGCUGCAAAGCUCGUUAAGGCUUUCACGGAUCACAAAAUCAGGAAAACAUACAUUGCUUUCUGUGUCGGGCAGGCUCCAAAAUGGAAAAAGAUCACUGUUAAGUCUGGCCAUGGUCGAUCAAAGUUUGGAGCUUGGCGUGUCUAUGCUGCAACAGAUGUGGGUAGGACACUACCUGGUGGAUCUUCCGUUAGAAACAUGGAAACUUUGUUUGAAGUGUUAGCAAUAAACGGACAAAGAUGUUAUCAAGAGUCGAGUGAGUUAGAAUUAGGUAUAGUUGUUAAAGAGAAAUCUGUGAUUGAAUGUGAUGGAAAUAAGGUCGAGGUUUUGGUGAGAGCAUUUCCUCAAAGUGGAAGAACGCAUCAAAUCCGCUUGCAUUGUCAGUAUCUUGGAAUUCCGAUAAGGGGAGAUGUGAAAUAUGAGGGUGUUUAUGAGUGGAAUGGGGUGGUUUAUGAUGGUCACCAACUUCAUGCCGAAAGCUUGUCUUUUGAGCAUCCUGUGACUGGUUCUCCGAUUGUUAUUCAGGCCUCUUUGCCGUUAUGGGCUACUGAAGUGAUGGCAUCAUCUUCCGAGCGUUUUUGAUACCAUCCAUUGCCAACAUGAUAAGAAACACACUUUAGGGAUAGAGGAUGUGUAUGCGUACAUCUCACCUGACCGAAUUUUCAAGUGGGAUACCGGGUUCAUUUGGUUAAUUGACUCUUCUCAAACGGGAUGAACCACAACUUUCUUAGCAGCUUUAGCCUAACAGAUCGAGUUAUGGAGCAUGCUGUUUCCUUGUACACGGAGGGAAAACAUUUAGCAGAAAUGUUGGUAUUUGGUUGAUUUUUGUAUACAUAAAGCAUACAAACCGAAAGUAUUUGCACUACGGCCUUAAUUGACUAAAAGAAGAGAAAAAAAAUAGGCAUAUUUAGGGUUCAUAGGCAAAAGUUUGAUCGACCCAUUAAUUUUUGGCGGUUUUGAGCUUCGAAUUUCUUGUAUUCUAGUUAUUUCUCUUUGAUGGCGUUUUCCAUGAGUGUUUUGUUGUUUACUGUUGCAUUUCAUGAUGAAAUU